ensembl:lncRNA
CUGCCUUCCUCCAGCCCUGCCUCGUCCUUCCUCUGAGUCUCUUUGGGAUCGAUGAGGCAGCCCCAGCUCUGGGCAUCCGGGAGCUUGUCUGUACCCCGCCCUCACCCUUGUUUGGGAUUUCUGGAAGUCUGGCUUGACCGGCAGAAGGGGUCAGUUGUCUGCAGAGUAGCUGGGUGGUGAACGAGUGCGUCUUGCUGGGACGAACAGAGCAGCAUGAUCUGGGUUCCUCUCAGAGAUGCUGUUGAGCCCACAGUUUGUGUGGUUCUGGGACUGUAAGUGCUGAUGGACAUGACGUGACCCUGGGCUUGUCAGCGAGCCACCGCCAGGCUGCUUAUUGGAAACCAGAUGCAGGAAGGGAGAUAGGAUCCCGCCACCUCCCUGCCUCCCAGUGAGUUACUUUCUUCCUCUAGGCCCUCAUUGCCUUUACUUAAAAAAAAUAAUCCUGGCCCAGUGAGCCAUUGCAAAGCAUCUCCAGGCAGUUGACGUAGGAAUGUUUUUCUCGCUGCUGCACUAGAUACUGGUCACAAUAAUAGCGAUGAUGAUUAAAAAGGAUGAGGCCUACGGAACUGGGAGGUCUGUCACUUGAUGGAGAUGGUGCAGACUGAGGCUCUGUGCACAUUCUCAGGAGAUCUCUCUCCUGUCGAGUCGAUUCCUGCCCUGUUUGGGCCAGUAGGGCCGGAUGGAGUGAGCUGACAGCCGAUCGUCUGGGGUCUCAAGACCAAAGGGAUGGUGCUGGGGAAUUUUAUGAUGUUCUCGGAUGAUAUCACGAGGCCCCUGUGGGAUCCCAGUUCUUCUCUUGUGCCUCAUGGACACGGGUGGUGUUUCUGCCCCCACUCCCCCGCCCACCCCUUUCCCCGGGAAGUCUGCUGCCUGCUGCCUCCCAGCGUUUCAUCUUCGCCUCUUCCCAUCUGAGAAGAGACUCUGAGUUGGCCACGAGCAGCCUGGAAUCCUUGCUGAGCGGAUUUGGAAGAGUCCGCUGUGUCUUCCUUCAAGGAAUCUGAAGCCUCAGCCCCUCUGGCAGGAAUGGAGUGAGGGAUGGCUAGGGGUGUUGGACCUGGAACAGGAAUAAAGCAGACAGAGCAGCUCUGGUGCAGCUGGGGAGAUGAAGC